GACAGUGACCAUGUCUGUCUGUGUUCACCAGUGCCCAGCACAGUGCCUGGUAUAAAACAGCUCUCUGGGAAAGCAUCUCUCAGCAUCUCUACUCACUCCCUCCCCAAGCUCCAGCCCCCUCCCCAGAAACAGUGUGGGUUCUGCUGGACAAGUGACCCAGAAGACAUCCCUUCAGACUCAUGAAGAGCAGGGGACUGAGAGCCAGAGGCCCACGUCCUCGGCUGCCUGCCUCACCCUGUGGCCCCGGUCACACAGCUCAUCAGCAGUGAAGCCAAGAUCCUAGCCCAGGUCUGUCAGCCUCCAGUGGGCUCUCCCUGCUGCCAGAAAGUCCUCCUCGUGGAGAAGCAGGUCUGGGGUUGGGGUUUUCAGUCAGAGCUCAUCAGGAUCCCCAGAGGCAAAUCGAUUGUCAUCUGCCCUCCUCCUCCUCACCCAUCUGCCAGGCAAGUCGCAGGUGAGCCCCCUGCCACGGCCCCUGCCCCAGCCCCAGGUGCUAGCUCAGCUUUGACUGGCUCCCUGCCUCUCCCUGGUGCCCCCAAGGUGGCUCUGAGGUCACCCCACACCCCAAUGCCUUCCAUUCUGCGCUUCCAGAUCUCAGGAUGCAUAGGAAAAAGGAGGCAGAGAGAGGAGGUCACGUGAAGGUUGGAAGCUGGGGCUCUGGUUUUGGGCAAAAGAUUGGGGGCCUGCUUAUCUCCUUUGAUUCAAAUGAACCCUUUCCCUAACUCCCACCCCUCACCCCAGAGACAGCCAGAGCUUUGCUUAGUUAAUGAAAUACAAAAGAAGGAGUCAGGGGGUGGGAGCGGCUGGAGAACACUGGAAAGCAAGGGAGAGAG